rnacentral:rRNA from 1 species
UACGAAGGGGGCUAGCGUUGUUCGGAAUUACUGGGCGUAAAGCGUGCGCAGGCGGCUUCUCAAGUCAGGGGUGAAAGCCCAGAGCUCAACUCUGGAAUUGCCUUUGAGACUGAGAGGCUUGAGUGCGGGAGAGGUGAGUGGAAUUCCCAGUGUAGAGGUGAAAUUCGUAGAUAUUGGGAAGAACACCGGUGGCGAAGGCGGCUCACUGGCCCGUAACUGACGCUCAGGCACGACAGCGUGGGGAUCAAACAGG